UACGAAGGGUGCAAGCGUUAAUCGGAAUUACUGGGCGUAAAGGGUGCGUAGGCGGUUGUUUAAGUCUGUCGUGAAAUCCCCGGGCUCAACCUGGGAAUGGCGAUGGAUACUGGACAGCUAGAGUGUGUCAGAGGAUGGUGGAAUUCCCGGUGUAGCGGUGAAAUGCGUAGAGAUCGGGAGGAACACCAGUGGCGAAGGCGGCCUUCUGGACCAAUACUGACGCUCAUGCACGAAAGCGUGGGGAGCAAACAGG
rnacentral:rRNA from 1 species